rnacentral:piRNA from 1 species
GAAUCAGAUUCGAUAGACCCC